GCAUCGAUCUCUUUCUUUUGUUUUUGCAAAGCAUUGUCAAGUGCCUCUGUAGCAGUUUAAUGGAUUUGAAUAAACAAACGAACCAAUUUGGAACACGAGCGCUAAAUAAAGAGGUUUGUGUACAAUAAAGAGACUGGUGGUUGGUGUCUCCUUGUGUCUUGUGUGGUCCCCCCUCUCUCCUGUCUCAUUGGUUGACCUCACUCCUGGGUCUCUCUCCUGGUAUCUUCCUCUCUUCUUCUUCCCCUCCUCUACUGUGGAUGUUGCUAUGCUCAUUUCUGUGCUAACGGGCUGCCUCUUUUGACUUGAGUUAAAAGUGGAAUGAAAGUUGUGAAGGACAAGAAUUCCUGGAAUAAUAAUAAUAAUAACUUAUUCAGUCUUUCCUUUUUUCUGCCUUCCUGAUGAUGUUUCUCUGAAUGCAAGGCGGCCUGCUCCUGCUCGUCGUAACCAGUGGUGACCUUGCCCCAAAGCAGGAUGGGAUUGGAGAUGCACUGUCCACAUACCAGCAAGAGAACCGGACCCUGUGAAGAAUCAUAAACCUUGAACACCUUAACUUUAAAUAUUCUCCAAAUAAUAGGUUUCAGAGCUGGUUAAACUCUAAAAGCCAUAACUUAGUUGAUAACAUGAAAUACAAGAGGGAGCUUUUUCCAUGGCAACUGUCAAAGAUGUACUCAUUUUACAAUAACUGAAGGCAUUUCAGGAAAAUCAGCCUCCUUUAAAUGCUUUUUUAUCAAGUGAAAUGAAAUCUCAUUGCAUAAGCUGUAAUAAAAUAUGUCUGGGAGAGAACA